GGAGAAGUGCAGGAGUGGUUGAACUGGCACGCCUGGAAAGUGUGUAAACUCGAAAGGGUUUCAAGGGUUCGAAUCCCUUCUUCUCCGCCA
rnacentral:tRNA from 1 species